CGGGUGGGGAGGGUCUUUUGAAAAACACGCUAUCGGGGCCGGCCUGGUGGUGCAGCAGUUAAGUGCACACAUUCCCCUUCUUGGCAGCUCGGGGUUUGCUGGUUCGGAUCCCGGGUGCAGACAUGGCACCGCUUGGCAGGCCAUGCUGUGGGAGGCGUCCCACAUAUAAUGUAGAGGAAGAUGGGCACGGAUGUUAGCUCAGGGCCAGGUUUCCUCAGCAAAAAAAGAGGAGGACUGGCAGUAGUUACCUCAGGGCUAAUCUUCCUGAAAAAAAAAAACCAAAAACUAUCUGGGACUCACUCCAGAGGAGACGCUAAUUUAAUUGAUCUGGGCUGCGCUGGGUAUGGAUGUAGGUUAAAAAUCUUCCAGAUGAUUCUAAGAAGUAUACCAGGACUGAAUACUGUAACCCUUGCCCUACUUACUGUGAACAGCUGUAAUGAGACUGCAAUUGAGUCAGGAGGGGAAUGAUACUUAGAAAGCUGCACUUACUGGCCCAGGACUUGAAGCAGAAGACUGAGGUUUAAGUGCCUACUCUGCGACAGUUAUGAGGACAAGGAGCAGUGUAGUUUAUCUGGAUCUUAGUUAUUAUAUUUGUAAAACGGUGAUGAAAACAUACACAUCAGCAGGUUUUUGUGAAGACUGGAUUAGAUUAUAUAGUUGAAAGCACUUUGAAUCGCAAAGUGUUACAGAGAAAUAACGAGCAAGGAGGCCCAGCAGAUCAUCUACGGGGAAGCUGAGUUGGUUCAGCUCUGGAACAGGACUGGAGAAUUGAAAGUAGAAGGAAAACAAGAGAGAACCUAGGAAGAAAGAAUGUAGGUCUCACCUGUGACUCCCUGCCGCAGAGGACUGGGAUGCACAGUAGCUCAUCCGUUUCUCCUGCCACAGGUGCUGCCUUUUCCUGCCUUCCUUGAUUUUUUUAUCAUGAUUCUAUUUUCAACAGUUGUUCUUAGUCUGAAACAACUCCUCUGGGUGAAAUUCCUGGCCUGGAGCCUGCAGAGAAGCAAGUGUUGAAGAAUGGAUGUUCCAGCUAUUAGGAUCAUUACACUGCCCUCAAUAACCACAGCUUGAAAUCUCCUGUCACUGAAAUGUUUCCCAGGGGGCUGUUUUAUAUCCAAGUGUUUGGCUGUGUAUGUGCCAGGUGUCAGGAACUGACCCCAAUACUUCUAAUUUCAGGACAAAUAGCACCAGGCAAAGGGGAGUUCAGAUCAUGCCCCUGAGGGCCUCAGGUGCCAGACUAAGGAGUUUAGACUUUAUUCGGUAACCUGUAGAAGUCAUUGGUUUUAAUCUAAGAAGUGAUAGAAAGUGGUGCUCAGAAUAUCAGUCAGGGGACCAGUGUGAUGGAUUAGUCUGGGAUGAGGCUGACAUCAAGAUGACCAGCAUAGAGGUUACUGAAGUAACUCAGGUGUCAGGACUUCAACUAGGGUAGUGGCCAUGGAAGUUGAAAGGAAAUGAUAAGUUCAAGAAAUAUGAUGGAUGAAAAUGGACGACACUUGGCCCUCACAGUUGUCAGGUUCUUUUAGUAAAUACAGGUAGCCCUCAACAACUAAAGAUUAACGUGAGCUACCUGUCUUCUCUCUUGCUAUUGGGUAAUGUCCUACAGUGAAAGCAAGUCUCAGACUUACUGCUACUACACA
ensembl:lncRNA